rnacentral:tRNA from 1 species
GGGCCCGUAGCUCAGGGGUAGAGCAGCCGGCUCAUAACCGGUAGGUCGCAGGUUCGAUCCCUGCCGGGCCCA